rnacentral:rRNA from 1 species
AGAGUUUGAUCAUGGCUCAGAGUGAACGCUGGCGGCGUGCCUAACACAUGCAAGUCGUGCGCGAAGGGAGCAAUCCUGAGUAAAGCGGCGAACGGGUGAGUAACACGUGGUUAACCUGCCUGGAUGUGGGGGAUACCCCGGGGAAACUCGGGACAAUACCGCAUGAUGUCUCUCGGGCGUCGGCCCGGGAGAGCAAAGCCGGGGACCGCAAGGCCUGGCGCAUCCGGAGGGGACCGCGGCCGAUUAGCUAGUUGGCGGGGUAAUGGCCCACCAAGGCGACGAUCGGUAGCCGGGCCUGAGAGGGUGAUCGGCCACACCGGAACUGAGACACGGUCCGGACUCCUACGGGAGGCAGCAGUGGGGAAUUUUGCGCAAUGGGCGAAAGCCUGACGCAGCAACGCCGCGUGGAGGAUGAAGGUGCUCUGCAUUGUAAACUCCUGUCGGCCGGGAAGAAUCGGCGGGGUGCUAAUCAGCCCCGUCUUGACUGUACCGGCAAAGGAAGCCCCGGCUAACUCCGUG